GUCUCUGUCAUUGGGGAGUAGCCAUCCUUUGUCCCCAAAGGAGUUAGCGUCAACAGACUUGGUGGUUCAGUGCCGCGUAGCGGUUGCUAGAACUCCAUGGCGCUAACGGUUUCCAUGCACGCGGCCCUGCCCGCCGCAUGGAUCAGCCAGGCGAGACC
rnacentral:sRNA from 2 species